rnacentral:lncRNA from 1 species
CACAUUUAAAAAGUAAUCACACUACAGAGUUAGUAACAGUAUCAUUUCUAUCCCUCAACUAUUGGUAUUUUGAAGAGGAGAGCAAUACAAGGGUGGCACUGAACACACAUACACAGACACACAAAAUGAAUUAGAGGCAUUAACAAAGAACAUACUUUUUAGUAAGGACGUCCCUGUUGCUCUUCAAAUCACACUCCUAAGGUACCACAUCUACAAGGAAGGCCCAGGCACAGACUGAAAGGAUCGCGACUGCCUUGGGGGCCACAGAUCACCUCUGCUUCAGGCUGGAAUGUUCCUUCUCCACAGAGUCCAGGAACUGACAUACGCAAACACCCACCCAGAAGGACAUGUCCAAGAAGGAAUGGAAAGAAAAAUGAUGGCCCAGAUGUUCUGUAACUUGCAGUGACUGCCAAAUCACCAAGACCCCAAGCACCUGGGAGGGCCAGGCAGCAUCAGGCCCUUGCUUCCCGGUCUCAGACAGUCAGGGUUCCGUGUCUGGGUGGCGAUUCUGACAGCAAGCAGACUGGCCUGGAGAGAAGCCUUUAGAAGGGCACCAGCUGACAGGACUUGCGGGCUGAACACUCAGGGCUGAUUUAUCACUUCCUUACUCAUAAAAAUGUGAUUCAAACUGCU